UACAGAGGAGCCAAGCGUUGUCCGGACUGACUGGGCGUAAAGCGCCCGCAGGCGGCCGUGCACGUGGGGUGUGAAAGCGCUCGGCUUAACUGAGCGAGGCCAUCCCAUACGGCGCGGCUCGAGCCGUCCAGAGGCCAGUGGAAUUGCCGGUGUAGUGGUGAAAUGCGUAGAGAUCGGCAGGAACACCCAGGGGGGAAACCAGCCGGCUGGGGGACGUGCUGACGCUCAGGGGCGAAAGCGUGGGGGAGCGAACCGG
rnacentral:rRNA from 1 species